GAUGAACGCUAGCGGCAGGCUUAACACAUGCAAGUCGAGGGGUAAAUAUAGCAAUAUAUGAGACCGGCAAACGGGUGCGGAACACGUACUGAACCUACCUUUAUCUGGGGCAUAGCCCGGAGAAAUCCGGAUUAACUCCCCAUAGUAUCAUUGGAUGGCAUCAUUUGGUGAUUAAAAAUUUAUUGGAUAAAGAUGGCAGUGCGUCCCAUUAGCUAGUUGGUAGGGUAACGGCCUACCAAGGCGACGAUGGGUAGCUGGUGUGAGAGCACGACCAGCCACACGGGCACUGAGACACGGGCCCGACUCCUACGGGAGGCAGCAGUGAGGAAUAUUGGUCAAUGGACGCAAGUCUGAACCAGCCAUGCCGCGUGAAGGAUGAAGGCCUUCUGGGUUGUAAACUUCUUUAUGUGGGAAGAAACCUCUGAUUUCUAUUAGAGUUGACGGUACCAUAGGAAUAAGCACCGGCUAACUCCGUGCCAGCAGCCGCGGUAAU
rnacentral:rRNA from 1 species